UUCGCUCUGUUGUUCAGAGUUAUUAAUGAAAAAUAAAGUAUAGUAAAACCCUCAGAAUAUCUUCGUCAUUGUUGCAAUCCUUAGUGUUUCCCUUAGCUUCAUCGUCACAUUCAAUAAUUCAAGCGCUCAGUGCAUCGCAUUUUUGCGGUAUCUUAUGAAUUUUAAAUUAAGGGACAUCUAUGUCUAAUAAAGCUACGGGUUUAGUUAAAUGGUUUAACGAAGAGAAAGGCUUUGGCUUUUUAACUCAAGAUAAUGGCAAGGCGGACGUAUUCGUUCAUUUCCGUGCUAUUGCUUCUGAAGGUUUUAAAACAUUGACCGAAGGUCAAAAAGUUUCUUUUGAUGUAGAGCAAGGCCAGAAAGGUCUUCAAGCUGCAAACGUUGUUGCUCUAUAAUCGUAUUUUAGAGUGUAAAUAAAGAAGUUUAUUUACACUCGU
rnacentral:sRNA from 1 species